rnacentral:rRNA from 1 species
GACGAACGCUGGCGGCGUGCUUAACACAUGCAAGUCGUACGGUAAGGCCCUUUCGGGGGUACACGAGUGGCGAACGGGUGAGUAACACGUGAGUAACCUGCCCACAACUUUGGGAUAACGCUAGGAAACUGGUGCUAAUACUGGAUAUGUGCUCCUGCUUCAUGGUGGGGGUUGGAAAGCUCCGGCGGUUGUGGAUGGACUCGCGGCCUAUCAGCUUGUUGGUGGGGUAGUGGCCUACCAAGGCGGCGACGGGUAGCCGGCCUGAGAGGGUGACCGGCCACAUUGGGACUGAGAUACGGCCCAGACUCCUACGGGAGGCAGCAGUGGGGAAUAUUGCACAAUGGGCGCAAGCCUGAUGCAGCAACGCCGCGGGCGGGAUGACGGCCUUCGGGUUGUAAACCGCUUUCAGCAGGGACGAAGCUUUUUGUGACGGUACCUGCAGAAGAAGCACCGGCUAACUACGUG